rnacentral:rRNA from 1 species
UGGGGAAUAUUGCACAAUGGGCGCAAGCCUGAUGCAGCCAUGCCGCGUGUAUGAAGAAGGCCUUCGGGUUGUAAAGUACUUUCAGCGGGGAGGAAGGGAGUAAAGUUAAUACCUUUGCUCAUUGACGUUACCCGCAGAAGAAGCACCGGCUAACUCCGUGCCAGCAGCCGCGGUAAUACGGAGGGUGCAAGCGUUAAUCGGAAUUACUGGGCGUAAAGCGCACGCAGGCGGUUUGUUAAGUCAGAUGUGAAAUCCCCGGGCUCAACCUGGGAACUGCAUCUGAUACUGGCAAGCUUGAGUCUCGUAGAGGGGGGUAGAAUUCCAGGUGUAGCGGUGAAAUGCGUAGAGAUCUGGAGGAAUACCGGUGGCGAAGGCGGCCCCCUGGACGAAGACUGACACUGAGGUGCGAAAGCGUGGGGAGCAAACA